rnacentral:rRNA from 1 species
AGCGAACGCUGGCGGCAGGCUUAACACAUGCAAGUCGAACGGAUCCUUCGGGAUUAGUGGCGGACGGGUGAGUAACACGUGGGAACGUGCCUUUUGGUUCGGAACAACACAGGGAAACUUGUGCUAAUACCGGGAUGUGCCCUUCGGGGGAAAGGAUUUAUCGCCAUUAGAGCGGCCCGCGUCUGAUUAGCUUGUUGGUGAGGUAAAGGCUCACCAA